UACGUAGGGGGCAAGCGUUGUCCGGAUUUACUGGGCGUAAAGAGCGUGUAGGCGGCCACGCAGGUCCGUUGUGAAAACUGGAGGCUCAACCUCCAGCUGUCGACGGAAACCGUGUGGCUAGAGUCCGGAAGAGGAGAGUGGAAUUCCUGGUGUAGCGGUGAAAUGCGCAGAUAUCAGGAAGAACACCAAUGGCGAAGGCAGCUCCCUGGGACGGUACUGACGCUGAGACGCGAAAGCGUGGGGAGCGAACAGG
rnacentral:rRNA from 1 species